rnacentral:lncRNA from 1 species
GACUGUUUUGGAGGCAUAGUAGACAGGGAUUAGACUGAUCAGUGGUCAGUGUCUCUGUCUGGUGAUGUUCCUGGCCUACAGACUGUUUUGGAGGCAUAGUAGACAGGGAUUAGACUGAUCAGUGGUCAGUGUCUCUGGUGAUGUUCCUGGCCUACAGACUGUUUUGGAGGCAUAGUAGACAGGGAUUACUUUGUGGGACAGAUGUUUAGAGAGUCAGAGUUCUUUCUCUAGACUGUAAAUCUGUGUCAGUGGUGGAGCUCUGCUCUUUUCUCUUUCACUGCUGGAAGAUCUCAGUCCUGAUGGGCCAACGGGCCUGUGUGGAACUGGAUAGAAACAUAUUUCUAGUGGAAUGUUCUAGAGGGACAGAUACUGUCAGAACAACAGUCAUACUGUCAGACAGUUCAGAUUUAAAUACAUCGACAGGGAGCUAGCUGAGUCAAUGGUUUAUGUUGAGCCAGGAUAAUAUUUCUGCCCUUCUCCAUUGUUUGAAAAGUUAAAUUCUCCUCGGAAUCGUCUGCGUUCACUGUCAAAUUCUGUUCUGGGAGUCUCGGGUAUGAAUUUGUUGAAAUGUAUGUAUCCUUUGUUUGCCAUCUUUUGUUUUAUAAUUCAAUACCUGUAAAUAAGUUAAAAACAGUUUUUUUUCAACAAAUACCUGGAAUAGCCAGCCAAAUAGAAAAAGUAGCCAGUCAGGCCUCCCCGAGCAGGGUUUGAAAAAUGUUGGCGGUCAACCUAUAUUUUGGUGGCAUCUAGUUCAUUCUAAUGCCUUGAUUCCAUCUGAAAUACACAGCAAGAUUAUUGAAUACUUCAUCAAAUGUACCUCCCAGAUUGGAAUUAGUUGUGGUAUUGUGUGUAGAAGGACAUGACUUUACAGUUUUAAUUACUGAAAAUGUUUAAAUUGAGUGUAUUGUUAGUUGUUUUGGAUAUCAUCUAGGCCUGUAUGAUCAGAACUAUUUUCUACAUAAAAUAACAUUAAACCUUUUUAACGUUUAACCUGUCUUCUCUUGAGAUGAAGAUCUUAUUUAGUCUUUUACUGCAAGAUAUGAAUUGUCCCAAUGUUUGAUGUUUGUUCUUCAAAACAGAAAAGUAUUUAAAUAGCCCACGACCCAAAUGAUCUUGAAAAAUAAAUGACAUGUGGCUGCUGUAUGAAACAUGCUAAAGAAAAUAAAUGAAUAUCCCAGAAC